UACGGGGGGGGCAAGCGUUGUUCGGAAUUACUGGGCGUAAAGGGCUCGUAGGCGGCCAACUAAGUCAGACGUGAAAUCCCUCGGCUUAACCGGGGAACUGCGUCUGAUACUGGAUGGCUUGAGUUUGGGAGAGGGAUGCGGAAUUCCAGGUGUAGCGGUGAAAUGCGUAGAUAUCUGGAGGAACACCGGUGGCGAAGGCGGCAUCCUAGACCAACACUGACGCUGAGUGAGCGAAAGCCAGGGGAGCAAACGGGG
rnacentral:rRNA from 1 species